rnacentral:rRNA from 1 species
CGUAACAAGGUCUCCGUUGGUGAACCAGCGGAGGGAUCAUUACCGAGUUUACAACUCCCAAACCCCUGUGAACAUACCACUUGUUGCCUCGGCGGAUCAGCCCGCUCCCGGUAAAACGGGACGGCCCGCCAGAGGACCCCUAAACUCUGUUUCUAUAUGUAACUUCUGAGUAAAACCAUAAAUAAAUCAAAACUUUCAACAACGGAUCUCUUGGUUCUGGCAUCGAUGAAGAACGCAGCAAAAUGCGAUAAGUAAUGUGAAUUGCAGAAUUCAGUGAAUCAUCGAAUCUUUGAACGCACAUUGCGCCCGCCAGUAUUCUGGCGGGCAUGCCUGUUCGAGCGUCAUUUCAACCCUCAAGCACAGCUUGGUGUUGGGACUCGCGUUAAUUCGCGUUCCUCAAAUUGAUUGGCGGUCACGUCGAGCUUCCAUAGCGUAGUAGUAAAACCCUCGUUACUGGUAAUCGUCGCGGCCACGCCGUUAAACCCCAACUUCUGAAUG